rnacentral:tRNA from 1 species
GCCGUUAGCUCAGUUGGCUAGAGCACCUGCAUGACGCGCAGGGGGUCGGGGGUUCGAAUCC